GCCGAAGUGGUGAAAUGGUAUACACGCAUGUUUCAGGUACAUGUAAGCGAAAGCUUGUGAGGGUUCAACUCCCUUCUUCGGCA
rnacentral:tRNA from 1 species